GAUGAACGCUGGCGGCGUGCCUAAUACAUGCAAGUCGAGCGAACAGACGAGGAGCUUUCUCCUCUAACGUUAGCGGCGGACGGGUGAGUAACACGUGGAUAACCUACCUAUAAGACUGGGAUAACUUCGGGAAACCGGAGCUAAUACCGGAUAAUAUAUUGAACCGCAUGGUUCAAUAGUGAAAGACGGUUUUGCUGUCACUUAUAGAUGGAUCCGCGCCGCAUUAGCUAGUUGGUAAGGUAACGGCUUACCAAGGCAACGAUGCGUAGCCGACCUGAGAGGGUGAUCGGCCAGCCUGGAACUGAGACACGGUCCAGACUCCUACGGGAGGCAGCAGUAGGGAAUCUUCCGCAAUGGGCGAAAGCUUGACGGAGCAACGCGGCGUGAGUGAUGAAGGUGUUCGGAUCGUAAAACUCUGUUAUUAGGGAAGAACAAAUGUGUAAGUAACUAUGCACGUAUUGACGGUACCUAAUCAGAAAGCCACGGCUAACUACGUG
rnacentral:rRNA from 1 species